AAAAAAUUUGGUCGUGAGAUAAGAUUUUUCAUGACAUAUAGAUGAUGAUUAUCAAAAUGGAUCAACUCAAGUUAUAGAGUGCAAUUCUUUCUAAUAAAAUAUUACUUGGAAUUGUAUGAUACUCACUUUCGCUAACACAAUUUAAAAGCUUCUUUACAAACAUGUCACCUCCUCACCAAAAGGCAUAGAUGGUCAUCAAUUAUUAAUUAACAAAUGAAGGAAAAAAGAAAAGAAAACUGCCAAUAAAGUUCCUUUAAAAAGUUUCCUGUCU
rnacentral:lncRNA from 1 species